UAAGCCCAGAUUAGGUAGUAACAACCAUUUGAGUCUGGGAUUUCUGAAUGGGGAAACCCACGUGCAUAAGCACGUAUCCUUACCUGAAUACAUAGGGUAAGGAGGCGAACCGGGGGAACUGAAACAUCUAAGUACCCCGAGGAAAAGAAAUCAACCGAGAUUCCGAAAGUAGCGGCGAGCGAAAUUGGACUAGCCCUUAAGCUUUACACGCGUUAGACGAACGGUCUGGAAAGUCCGGCGAUACAGGGUGAUAGUCCCGUAGUUGACGACGUGUGUUCAGUGAAAUCGAGUAGGGCGGGACACGUGAUAUCCUGUCUGAAUAUGGGGGGACCAUCCUCCAAGGCUAAAUACUACUGACUGACCGAUAGUGAACCAGUACCGUGAGGGAAAGGCGAAAAGAACC
rnacentral:rRNA from 1 species